CCUACGGUGGCUGCAGUGGGGAAUAUUGGACAAUGGGCGAAAGCCUGAUCCAGCCAUGCCGCGUGUGUGAAGAAGGCCUUCGGGUUGUAAAGCACUUUCAGUGGGGAAGAAAGCCUUGGGGCUAAUACCCUCGAGGAAGGACAUCACCCACAGAAGAAGCACCGGCUAACUCCGUGCCAGCAGCCGCGGUAAUACGGAGGGUGCGAGCGUUAAUCGGAAUUACUGGGCGUAAAGCGCGCGUAGGCGGUCUGAUAAGCCGGUUGUGAAAGCCCCGGGCUCAACCUGGGAACGGCAUCCGGAACUGUCAGGGUCGAGUGCAGGAGAGGAAGGUAGAAUUCCCGGUGUAGCGGUGAAAUGCGUAGAGAUCGGGAGGAAUACCAGUGGCGAAGGCGGCCUUCUGGACUGACACUGACGCUGAGGUGCGAAAGCGUGGGUAGCAAACAGGAUUAGAUACCCCGGUAGUC
rnacentral:rRNA from 1 species